UACGGAGGGUGCAAGCGUUAUCCGGAAUCAUUGGGUUUAAAGGGUCCGCAGGCGGUCUUAUAAGUCAGUGGUGAAAGCCUACAGCUCAACUGUAGAACUGCCAUUGAUACUGUAGGACUUGAAUUCGGUCGAAGUGGGCGGAAUAUGACAUGUAGCGGUGAAAUGCUUAGAUAUGUCAUAGAACACCGAUAGCGAAGGCAGCUCACUAGGCCUGGAUUGACGCUCAUGGACGAAAGCGUGGGGAGCAAACAGG
rnacentral:rRNA from 1 species